ACCCACAAGAAUUAAACUCAGGCUCUCUUAUUUUCCCUCUUCUUUCAUUUUGCUCCAUCAAACAAGAGGGGAAGCCGACAAAGUUAUCAAAGCUUCAAACAAACAAACAAAGGCGACAAACUUCCUCUCUCACUCGGCGACUCGACUCCAUCUUCACCGCAAGAGAUUCUUGAAAUUCCUACAUGAAAAUCGAGUUUAUUCAAUCUUAAUCGAGCUUUUAAAGUUUAAUUAAGACAAUACAAUUGCAAGUUAGAGAUUAUUUGAGUAAAUAUUGAAGGAUGCAACUUAGGUUUUUUCCAAGUUGAAGAUUCGAAUAUUGUUGUUUGCAGAUUCGUAUUAUCAGGGUGAUCUCGAAAUCCUCCAGGUUUUGAGAAGUUUUAGUUCGACACUCACAAAACAGGAAAUAUCUUAGACAAGCCCGAAACUGUGGAAAAACAUGAAAUGAUCAAGAAGAAAAUUCAAAAAAAUCCAGAGAUGUAGGUAUUUGAUGUCAUAGAAGAAUGUUUUGGGAGGCAAAAUAAAGGAUAUGUUGCUGGGUAUGGUGGUGCUAUCAAGCCUAAGGAUCUAAGAGACCAAACCGAUUCGACCUUGAAAUGAAGUUAAAACAAGUUGGAAAAGUUAAUGAAGUGUUACUGGGAAGAAUAGAACAUGUGGAAGCAGAAAAUAGAACCUUCGCUACUCGCUUAAAUGAAGUUGAAGCAAAAUUUGAGGGAAAACUUCAGGCCAUUCUAGAUGCUUUUAGUGAUUAGUAAGACUCAAGAAUAGCCGAGUAAGCUUAUUGACUGCUCUGCUAAAGUGCCUCAUUUCUACUGGCUUCCUUGCUGACUGCUCUCAAGUUAAGUUGGUGUUGCUGAUAUGCUUCCAUGCUGACUACUCUGCUAAAGUGCCUCAUUUCUACUGGCUGACUCUUCUAUGUUGUGGACUUUCAGUUUGAAUUUUUAUAUAAUUAGUCAUCAGAUAAACUCGAAAUGAACUUCAUGGUAUUUGUAUAUCUUGGGCAUCAGAUAAUUGGUUGUGGUGGUUUUAAUCAUGGACAACUGAUGUUGAUUUGGAUUUUGUGAAACUGGAAAUGAACUUCAUGGUAUUUGUAUGCAAUGAUGAUUGAUGAUGGUAUUACUAUAUGUAGGAAUCAUUGA